GUGCCAGCCGCCGCGGUAAUACGUAGGGUGCGAGCGUUGUCCGGAAUUAUUGGGCGUAAAGAGCUCGUAGGCGGCUUGUUGCGUCUGCCGUGAAAAUUCGCAGCUUAACUGUGGACGUGCGGUGGAUACGGGCAGGCUUGAGUUCGGUAGGGGAGACUGGAAUUCCUGGUGUAGCGGUGAAAUGCGCAGAUAUCAGGAGGAACACCGGUGGCGAAGGCGGGUCUCUGGGCCGAUACUGACGCUGAGGAGCGAAAGCGUGGGGAGCGAACAGGAUUAGAUACCCUUGUAGUCC
rnacentral:rRNA from 1 species